rnacentral:lncRNA from 1 species
UUUUCUUUCUUUUGAUUUCUUUUGAUUUCUUUUGAUUUCUUUUGAUUUCUUUUGAUUUUGCACCCUCUCUUUCUUUGUUUUUUUUUUGAUUGAUUUUUUUUUUCUCUUUUUCGAUUAAUGCCCCAGUUGGCUGUUCUGCUGAUUCUCGAGAUGCAGCUGAGUGAUCUUCUUUUCUUGCUCAAGAAGUUGGGAAAUCUCGUCAGGAAUCCCUUCAACAUCAUCUUCGUCCACUUCGAAUACAGGGAAUUCAAAAUCGGGAGAUGACGUCCGAUCAUUAUGUUCAAUGGGUUUGAGAAACAACCUGCAUAAAGAUUUUGAGUAUAAAAAAGCACUUUGAAAAUCAAACAAGACAA